CAACCCAGCCACCUUUCAGUGUGGCUGUGUCAGUAUCGGAAUGAAAUGAACAUGACCCCCUCCAGCAGGGAAGGAACACACAGUAAAGAAGCCAGAUGCUGUGUUGGGAGCAUACUGAUGCAGCCCUGUGUGGCAUCGAUGUGACAGAGAGGCCUCCUGCCAGCAGCCAGCACCAAUUUGCCAGCUCUCUUCUAAAAUGCUGGCAGCCAGGCUGAACUAUUCAACCAGGAGAUCGAAAGAAAUUUCUCUGCAGACUCUGACAGCCUACAGAAAAAACUUACGAUAUAGUAUUGGGAAUGACGCAAAGAAAUAGUACAGUCAGGAACACGAAGAUCUGCUUGCAUCAGAUGUGCCCUAUGACAUGCUCAGAGCCUCUGAUUGGCUUUUCGGUGCCUCACUAGAUACAUGAAUAGACAGCCAAGGAUCAUCAGUUAUCUGUGGAAACAGAUUUGCCAAAACAAAGAACAGGAACAAAAAACUCAGAGGACAAGAGACUAUGGAGUGAGAAGAAAAAUAUUCCCUCAAACUAUCAUUAAUAAUCUCAAACGGAAAAAAGAAAAUAUUGCAUGGAACAAGACAAUAUGCAAUAAAAAGGAAAAUUCCAAAAGAAUUUUUGCCAAUUAAAGUAUGAUAGCAGAUCUUAAAAACUCAAUACAAGGUUUGUAAGAUGAAAUUGAGGAAACCUCCUAGAAAACCAAGCAAAAGAAAAAGACGUGGGAAUUAAAAGAGAAAGAUUUUUUUAAAAAUGGAGGAUCAAUUCUAGAGAUGAGAGAGAGAAAGAAAAUGGGAGAAAAUAAUAAAAAAAAAAAUCUCAGAAUGGAAGGACAAGCAUUUCUACAUUGAAAGUGUCCACCGAGGCCUUGAUACUGAAUGAAAAUGGAUCCAUACCUAGGCACAUCAUCAUGACAUUUUGGAAAAUAGAAGACUGAGAAUAUCUUAAGAACACUCUUUUUAAUGAGACUAAUAGAGAAGGGGCUUCUCCAAAAUAAGAAGAAACCAAGAAAGGGAAACACAAAUGAUCCAGGAGGAGGGAAUCCAAAGUAGAGAGAAAAAAAAGGACUCUCUAGAAUGAUGCUGAAUGGAACUAGCCAAAUAAGACCUAGUCAGUAGGCUUGGAGAGCAGCCAGUCCAGGCUGGAGCAGGUUCUCCUACUCUAGAUGCAGGAAUGGCCUUAGGGUCCAUCUGCUUUUGGCAAACACCUACACCUGCCAAGUCUUCAACGCUUGGGUAGUAGACCAUUACCCUUUCACCUCACUGUAUUGCCUUCACCAUGGUUAAAAGACAGGUACUAUUAGCGAUAGUUAUUUUUUUGUAUAGAGUAUUACUCUUAACCUGCCAAACUCUCAAAUAUUUUCCCUUUCUCUUUCACUGACUAUUCUAUUGGCUCUGAUUCUAAGGCUAGUCUAUGACAUAAAUAAGGGAAAUGGUUGGAGGACACGGAGUGAACCUGGUAGAUCAGGUGAAGAAUGUCUCAUUUUAGAUUAGUGGAAAACAAAACAAAAUAUUUCAUGCUGUCCUUGGCUCUGACCUAGACAGCCCUCUUAACUUGCGAUAGGGAAAGUAUGCUUAUCCUACUUUCAAUUAAACAAAGCUAGAACAAAUAUUUAAUAUAUCAGAAGAAAGAAUUAGGAUUCAAAAAGUCCUCAAUAGUUUCCAAACUUAGGAUUAGCAAAUAAAUGAAACAGUAGAAAUAAUUUUAAAGCCCCAUACCUUUUUUUUUUUUUUUUAAGAUUUU